AUUGAACGCUGGCGGCAUGCCUUACACAUGCAAGUCGAACGGUAGAGUAGCAAUACUCGAGAGUGGCGAACGGGUGAGUGAUAUAUCGGAACGUGCCCAGUCGUGGGGGAUAACGUAGAGAAAUUUACGCUAAUACCGCAUACGAUCUAAGGAUGAAAGCGGGGGAUUCGCAAGAACCUCGCGCGAUUGGAGCGGCUGAUAUCAGAUUAGGUUGUUGGUGAGGUAAAAGCUCACCAAGCCGACGAUCUGUAGCUGGUCUGAGAGGACGACCAGCCACACUGGGACUGAGACACGGCCCAGACUCCUACGGGAGGCAGCAGUGGGGAAUUUUGGACAAUGGGCGCAAGCCUGAUCCAGCAAUGCCGCGUGCAGGAUGAAGGCC
rnacentral:rRNA from 1 species